GUGAGUCAUCGAAUCUUUGAACGCAUAUUGCGCCCCUUGGUAUUCCGGGGGGCACACCUGUUCGAGCGCCAUUUCAACCCUCAAGCAUUACUUGGUGUUGGGUGAGGUCCUUUAAGGGGACCCUCCCGUAACCAGUAGGCAGUAACAGUCCGUAACCCCCUAGCGUAGCAGGCUCACGCACUCGCUCGGGGGGGAUGGGGCUAAACCAUGCCUUAUAAAACAACCCUUUUCAAGGUUUGGCCUCGGAUCAGAUGGGGAUACCCGCUGAACUUAAGCAUAUCAAUAAGCGGAGGA
rnacentral:misc_RNA from 1 species